CAGAGAAGCUGGAUAACAGUUAUCCAGAUAUCAAUAUUUGGCAAGCUGUUAUAAAGCGAUAUUGAAUUCAGCUAAUGCUUGAUAUGACAUGUUGUUAUACAGUAUGAUAUGGCUCCACUUCCAUAGGAUAGUAGGUUUCUCUUCAUAUCAUGAUGCAGGGAAAUGCCUGUACCAUAGCAAGAGUAGCUCUUACUGAAUAGAUAUGACACCUUACGUAAGGUACAAUAAGUUUGUUUUUACGGUUGUUCUUUUUCUGACUUAUUGACCAUGCUAAACCAAGUCACCCUUAUCAGUGGACCUUCAGCACUCUCAAUCUGAACAAUGUGCAAAGUUUCAGUCUUUACUAUACUAACCUACACAGUAUCACUGGAGAGUGUAUUGGAAUCUGUUUCCCUGUGAGCAGAAACCCUACAGAGAGAGGACUGCAGGGAUCUGUGGUAAUAAACUUGGCUCAAGAUGCAGAAAGCAGAUGCCGGGGUUGAGAAGGGGCCAACACAUGCUGGAGAUCAUGGAGGGAACAGGACGGGGCUGUGGAUGAAGAGAGAGAGAAAUGUUUGCCUUUUGGAGCUCUGUGUGAACCUUCUCUGGGGUUAUUGAUGGGCCCCGCCUCCUCCCCCGGCUCCAUAAAUCUCAGAGAAAUGACCCCUGCCUGGUGGAGGGCCAGACACUCUGCAAUCGGGCCCGAGCCUGAUGACAGCUUUAGCUGCUGCUGAAGUGGACAGCUCCAGUUUCUGUUUAGCCAUAUAUAGACUGGCCUCACUAAAACAUGUCCUCGCUGGCCACCUAAAGAGUCAACCUUAUGAUCAUGACAAAUAACAGAUUUCCCUGUCUGAUGUAGAUUAAAUGGUAAUCACUG